rnacentral:lncRNA from 1 species
AGCAUGAAGAAACUUCCAGAACCCUCGGCCACAAGAAUGGACAAGAGGACUCCAAAUCUCCAUCAAUUCAAUCCAGUCGGAGUCAACUCAAUUUUCACAGAAGAAAGUCACAUGAUAAUUACAUUUUCCAUUGUAAAUUGGCAUGAAGAUGAUUAAACCUUGAGGAACAGCAUGAAAUUAAUAAAUAAUCAUCCAUGAGAAAUAUGAGAUUUUUUUUUCCUGAUUUUUAUCAACUCCACCACGCCUCCCUGGGCUGCCUUG